UGGCGACCGGCGCACGGGUGAGUAACACGUAUCCAACCUGCCGAUAACUCAGGGAUAGCCUUUCGAAAGAAAGAUUAAUACCCGAUGGUAUAAUCAGACCGCAUGGUUUGAUUAUUAAAGAAUUUCGGUUAUCGAUGGGGAUGCGUUCCAUUAGGCAGUUGGUGAGAUAACGGCUCACCAAACCUUCGAUGGAUAGGGGUUCUGAGAGGAAGGUCCCCCACAUUGGAACUGAGACACGGUCCAA
rnacentral:rRNA from 1 species